rnacentral:rRNA from 1 species
AGAACUCAUGACUUACGACCAGGGCUACACACGUGCUACAAUGGCAUAUACAAAGAGAAGCGACCUCGCGAGAGCAAGCGGACCUCAUAAAGUAUGUCGUAGUCCGGAUUGGAGUCUGCAACUCGACUCCAUGAAGUCGGAAUCGCUAGUAAUCGUAGAUCAGAAUGCUACGGUGAAUACGUUCCCGGGCCUUGUACACACCGCCCGUCACACCAUGGGAGUGGGUUGCAAAAGAAGUAGGUAGCUUAACCUUCGGGAGGGCGCUUACCACUUUGUGAUUCAUGACUGGGGUGAAGUCGUAACAAGGUAACCGUAGGGGAACCUGCGGUUGAUCCAAACCUCCUUAAAA